rnacentral:rRNA from 1 species
UAUUGCACAAUGGGCGCAAGCCUGAUGCAGCCAUGCCGCGUGUGUGAAGAAGGCCUUCGGGUUGUAAAGCACUUUCAGUCAGGAGGAAAGGUUAGUAGUUAAUACCUGCUAGCUGUGACGUUACUGACAGAAGAAGCACCGGCUAACUCCGUGCCAGCAGCCGCGGUAAUACGGAGGGUGCGAGCGUUAAUCGGAAUUACUGGGCGUAAAGCGUACGCAGGCGGUUUGUUAAGCGAGAUGUGAAAGCCCCGGGCUCAACCUGGGAACUGCAUUUCGAACUGGCAAACUAGAGUGUGAUAGAGGGUGGUAGAAUUUCAGGUGUAGCGGUGAAAUGCGUAGAGAUCUGAAGGAAUACCGAUGGCGAAGGCAGCCACCUGGGUCAACACUGACGCUCAGACGAA